CACAAAUAGGCCACAGUGGAAAGUCUUCCCCCAUCGCCAUGUAGAUAGAACCCCUUCUCAAUUAACCUCCUCCAGUCUACAUAUUCUAGCACCCCUCAUACACUCUAGAACCCCUCAUACACUCUAGAACCCCUCAUACACUCUAACACCCCUUAUAAACUCUAGCACCCCUUAUAGACUUUAGUACCCCUUACAUACUCCAGCACCCCUUAUAUGCUCUAGCACUCCCUAGACCCUAAGGCCACAGAGUCUCCUGUAAUUAGGGCAAAACAGCACCCGAAAGGGUUGGAGGAGUGACUGGAAUUUCAGGUGAAAGUCCAGACCUCAUCCAGUUCCUCAAAAACCAACAUUCCAGAGGCCCCAUCAGAAUGGUCUCCUACAGCAGGCAUGGGUACUGAGAUGAUCAUGGAGACCAUAUGGCUCAGAGGACCCUGAUCUUUGUUUGACACUACUCUACACAUCUGAGAGGUCUAUCCAGUGCCUUUAGAACAGACCUUAGUGACCUGACCUCCAGAAUCCCAUUAUCCAAACCCAUCAGCCUUUCCCACACCCUCUGCCCCCGCUCAACCUUGCUCCAGGCCUCCAUGCAUCAAUAUCGUUCAUCACGAAUCCACGCAUUAAAACUAAUAAUGUUACAGUGCUAGGAUUGCCAUCUUCAGCUGGAAAUAAAUUGCUGUUUUCCUGGAGUCAGGGGAUGCAGACUCAAAAGCCUCCAAGCUCUAAUCCCAUUCGGCCAUCUUCUGAGGCUGACAUCAGCUGCGCUCUCUUUAGCCUGACACCAUCUAUCACGCAGGAGAACAGGGUGAGCAUUUCAUAACUGGCUAAGCUCGCAUCUGCCAGGGUGGGUCUGUAGAGAUGUAUAUCAAGGGGGCAUGGCAUAUGAAUUUCCACCACAGGCCAGAGACGAUUAAAUAAUUUUUUGGUAAAACAGCA
rnacentral:lncRNA from 1 species